rnacentral:tRNA from 1 species
GGGCCUGUGGCGCAGUUGGGAGCGCGACUGAAUGGCAUUCAGUAGGUCGGGGGUUCGAAUCCCCCCAGGUCCA